ACAUGCCUACAACAUAGAGUUAAUGCACCAGAUCCCAUUAGAACUCCACAGUUAAGCGCGCUCAGGAUAGAGUAGUACUGGGAUGGUUGACCGCCCGAGAAGUUCUAGUAUUUUACAUGCC
rnacentral:rRNA from 1 species